rnacentral:miRNA from 2 species
AAAACUGCAGUUACUUUUGC